GUGUAUCUCAGUGGUAGAGCACUUGCCUAGCAUGUAUGAGGCCCUGGGUUUAAUCCCCAGCAC
rnacentral:tRNA from 1 species